AAAAGUUUAUGUAACAUUUUCAUUGUUGUUGCUUUUCAUUGCUAUGGUCACCACAUUGGCAACGGUUACCAUAGCAACGGUUACCAUGACAACAGUUACCAUAGCAAAGGUUACCAUAGAAACCGUUACUAUAGCAGCGUUACCAUAGCAACGGUUACCAUAGAAACCGUUACUAUAGCAACGGUAACUAUGGCAACGGUUACCAUAGCAACGGUUACUAU